rnacentral:rRNA from 1 species
GACCUUCGGGCCUCGCGCGAUUGGAGCGGCCGAUGGCAGAUUAGGUAGUUGGUGGGAUAAAAGCUUACCAAGCCGACGAUCUGUAGCUGGUCUGAGAGGACGACCAGCCACACUGGGACUGAGACACGGCCCAGACUCCUACGGGAGGCAGCAGUGGGGAAUUUUGGACAAUGGGCGAAAGCCUGAUCCAGCAAUGCCGCGUGCAGGAUGAAGGCCUUCGGGUUGUAAACUGCUUUUGUACGGAACGAAAAAGCUUCUCCUAAUACGAGAGGCCCAUGACGGUACCGUAAGAAUAAGCACCGGCUAACUACGUGCCAGCAGCCGCGGUAAUACGUAGGGUGCGAGCGUUAAUCGGAAUUACUGGGCGUAAAGCGUGCGCAGGCGGUUAUGUAAGACAGAUGUGAAAUCCCCGGGCUCAACCUGGGAACUGCAUUUGUGACUGCAUGGCUAGAGUACGGUAGAGGGGGAUGGAAUUCCGCGUGUAGCAGUGAAAUGCGUAGAUAUGCGGAGGAACACCGAUGGC